rnacentral:rRNA from 1 species
UACGAAGGGGGGCUAGCGUUGCUCGGAAUGACUGGGCGUAAAGGGCGCGUAGGCGGAUGGCACAGUCAGAUGUGAAAUUCCCGGGCUUAACCUGGGGGGCUGCAUUUGAUACGUGUUGUCUAGAGUGAGGAAGAGGGUUGUGGAAUUCCCAGUGUAGAGGUGAAAUUCGUAGAUAUUGGGAAGAACACCGGUGGCGAAGGCGGCAACCUGGUCCUUGACUGACGCUGAGGCGCGAAAGCGUGGGGAGCAAACAGG